CUUCUUCUUCUUCUUCUUUCUCUCUUUCUUUCCAACCAUCUUCUCACCAGCCUCGCCGUCUCCUCUCCUUUGCUCCCAACUUCAACGCCCAUAUCAGGCGAAACUCAAAACCCAAGGUUUUCCUUUUGCGUGCUUUCAUGGGUUAUAAACACAAAUUCCUACUGUUUAAUCUCUGUUAAUUUCGUUUGGGCAGGUUUUGAAGGUCCAUUGUUCCACAAGUGAACCAUUGAAGGUCAUGAUAUCAGGAGCACCGGCAUCCGGGAAAGGCACUCAGUGCGAGCUAAUGGUGAACAAGUUUGGAUUGGUGCACAUAUCAACGGGUGAUCUACUGAGGGCUGAAGUAUCUGCGGGGACAGAUAUUGGAGAAAAAGCUAAAGAGUUCAUGAAUGCUGGUCGUCUGGUUCCUGAUGAAAUUGUGGCAGCUAUGGUGACAGCACGAUUAUCUCGUGAAGAUGUAAAGCAAAAAGGGUGGCUAUUAGACGGGUAUCCACGAAGUUUGGCCCAAGCAGAAAGUUUGGAAAAAUUGAAGAUUAGACCAGAUGUUUAUGUUGUGUUGGAUGUUCCUGAUGAAAUUCUGAUCGACAGAUGUGUUGGAAGAAGACUAGACCCAGUGACAGGGAAGAUUUACCACAUUAAAAAUUUCGCUCCAGAGACUGAGGAGAUCAAAGCAAGACUUAUAACCCGUCCGGAUGACACUGAGGAAAAAGUAAAGUCGCGUCUUGAAAUAUACAAGCAAAAUGUAGAAGCAAUUUUAUCCACUUAUUUGAACAUUAUGAAGACGAUUGAUGGAAGCCGCCCAAAAGAAGUAGUUUUUGAAGAAAUAUAUUCUUUGCUGUCUGAAGUGCAGAAAGAUAAAGUGAAAUUGAUUAAAUCUGGAAACGUAAAACCAGAAGGUGAGAGCAGUUCUAAUCAGGCACCAGUUUACCAGGAUAAAUGGAGAGGAAUUCCUACUAGAUUAAACAAUAUCCCUCAUUCCAGAGAAAUCCGGAAUUAUUUUUAUGAUGAUGUUCUGCAAGGCACACAGAGAGCUGUAAAUGAUGGAAGAAUACGAUUAAAGGUGGAGAUUGCCAUUCCAGAGCUGAACCCAGAGAUGGAUGUUUAUCGGAUAGGCACCUUGAUGGAACUGGUUCGAGUUCUUGCUCUUUCAUUUGCUGAUGAUGGAAAACGUGUCAAGGUUUGUGUUCAAGGGUCUAUGGGGCAAGGCGCGCUUGCUGGAAUGCCACUGCAACUUUCGGGUACUCGAAAGAUCUUGGAGUUUAUGGAUUGGGGGGAUUAUGGAGCUCUGGGAACGUUUAUCAAGAUUGGAUCUAUAGGUGCAAGAGAAGUUGAGGAACAGGAUGACAUCUUCAUAUUAGUAGCACCUCAAAAUGCAGUAGGGAAUUGCAUUAUAGAUGAUCUAAAGGCCAUGACAGAUUCUGCUGGGAAUCGACCAGUUAUUCUUGUUAAUCCAAGGCUGAAGGUCAAUAUCCUUAUCUAUUGUUUAGCUGAAUUUCUUAUCAUAGAAUGAUUUCCAUAUUAAGAAAGAAAAAGGGUACACCUAUCCUGCUUUUCAUAUAUGUACUUGAUGGCUGUGUGAACAGGAACAUAUUUAAUAUUAUAAUGUUGUUAGGACAUGGUACAGAGAGUACAAUUAAUGGACAUGCAUUACCAUACUAAACUUUGCACCAAUCCAGAUUUAGAUGGGGUCAACUACAAGAAUUGUUCUCCAUUUAAUGUUUGGGCCUUUGGGGCUAAACUCUUUACUAUCUAAUUUGCUGACGUGCUUGCUGCACAAAAUCUGGAUUACUUCUAAUUUAUUGUAGUCAUAUGGUGCCUUAUUGGUUGCAAGAUUUAGCUAUUUCAUCCAAAAUCAUUUUCUGUGAUUCAGCUGUCUUGCCUGCAUAAAUUGCGCAUUAAUGUUAUAGUUUUCUGUUUUAUUUCAUUUCUUUUACUCUUAGCUUUUCUGUUGAGCUUGCUUUAUCCAGAGGCUAGAGAUCAUGCGUUCAAAUUGCUAAAACAGCCUCCUUGCAAAUGCAAGGGAAAUUCUGUGUACGUCGUCCCAAGAGGCUACAAUGUAGGAGGCCUUGUGAAUUUGGACACCCUUUUCAUUUUCGUUUUCUUUUGUUUCCAUACAUAAUAAUUAGUCCUUCCUGUAGCAUCAGAUUAUGUUAUAGUCAAAAGUCCAAAACCCACUUUCUGUAAACGAAACUUGAAAUGGUUAGUUCUAUGAAUAUAUAACAUACUCUUUUGGUUCUCUUCAAUUUCAGGAUUUACCUGGUUCAAGUGGCAUAAUGCAAACAAUGGGCCGAGAAAAGAGACUGGAGUAUGCUGCUUCUUUUGAAAAUUGCUAUUCCUUCCGGCUUCUCUACUAUGCAGGAACUCAGUAUCCUAUCAUGGGAGCUCUUAGGAUGUCUUACCCAUACCGUUAUGAAAUAUAUAAGAGGGUGGAUCAACCUUCAGGUGGAGAAAAGUAUGAAAUCUUGUCAACAUUCAGUGAAAAGCCAAACAGUGAUGAUAUAAAUGAUGCCUUCUUGGGGAAACCAAGAAAUCAAGCUAAGAAAGCCUCAGGAUUUUGGGGCUUCUUGAGUGGUGUAUUUUAAGCAGAAAUGAAAAUGGUACGCAAAAUAUUAUCCAUGAUGGGCAAUUUUAAACUUUAGCAAGAAAAAUAAGAACCUGAGAUUCCCCCAAAUGCUGAGUUUCAGGAAUCUGUUGAGUACUACUACAGAAGCCUAAGAUACAAUUUGGUGAGCUGGUGACCGUGUUUUUUUUUUUUUUUUUUUU
rnacentral:misc_RNA from 1 species